rnacentral:rRNA from 1 species
UACGUAGGGCGCAAGCGUUAAUCGGAAUUACUGGGCGUAAAGCGUGCGCAGGCGGUUUUGUAAGUCUGAUGUGAAAUCCCCGGGCUCAACCUGGGAAUUGCAUUGGAGACUGCAAGGCUAGAAUCUGGCAGAGGGGGGUAGAAUUCCACGUGUAGCAGUGAAAUGCGUAGAGAUGUGGAGGAACACCGAUGGCGAAGGCAGCCCCCUGGGUCAAGAUUGACGCUCAUGCACGAAAGCGUGGGGAGCAAACAGG